UGGGGAAUUUUGGACAAUGGGCGAAAGCCUGAUCCAGCAAUGCCGCGUGUGUGAAGAAGGCCUUCGGGUUGUAAAGCACUUUUGUCCGGAAAGAAAUCCUUGGCUCUAAUACAGUCGGGGGAUGACGGUACCGGAAGAAUAAGCACCGGCUAACUACGUGCCAGCAGCCGCGGUAAUACGUAGGGUGCAAGCGUUAAUCGGAAUUACUGGGCGUAAAGCGUGCGCAGGCGGUUUGCUAAGACCGAUGUGAAAUCCCCGGGCUCAACCUGGGAACUGCAUUGGUGACUGGCAGGCUAGAGUAUGGCAGAGGGGGGUAGAAUUCCACGUGUAGCAGUGAAAUGCGUAGAGAUGUGGAGGAAUACCGAUGGCGAAGGCAGCCCCCUGGGCCAAUACUGACGCUCAUGCACGAAAGCGUGGGGGAGCAAAACAGGAUUAGAUACCCUGGUAGUCCACGCCCUAAACGAUGUCAACUAGUUGUCGGGUCUUCAUUGACUUGGUAACGUAGCUAACGCGUGAAGUUGACCGCCUGGGGAGUACGGUCGCAAGAUUAAAACUCAAAUGAAUUGACGGGGUC
rnacentral:rRNA from 1 species